ensembl:lncRNA
UUUGGAGAUACAGCAAUUUUUAUAUACUGCAGGAAAAACGAAAAACAAUCCUAUGAUGCAAAUUUGCAAAGAAAACAGCAUGUGCAUCACUUCACUGUGGGAAGUGUUACGAACAGCUGAUAGGAACGGCAAAGCGUGUUUCUGGAAUAUUAUGUUUUUGUUCCUGCAAGCGCUUUUUAUGCAAUUUUUGCAAUUUUUGCAAAGCUUUAUGUGGAACGAAACUGUGACUGAGGACAAGCUGAUGGCAUAAGAUUCUUUUCGCAGGAUCAGAAAACAAAACCAGGAGGCGCGUAAAUGUUUCUUCUCCAUGAUGUUUCUUCAAAUGUUUCUUCUGGAUGAUGAUAAGACUAUGACACAGGAUGCCACCUUUGGUCUUAUGGUGAAGCAAAGCUCAGGAAGAAGUGGGAUUAAAUGGUACCCACAUGUGUGCUGCUGAGAAGGAUGUACAGGGGCACCUGCAGCCAAAUCCAAGCCUCAGAUUCCUACAUGCUGGCAGAGCGGCAGUUUGUGCUCACAGAUGGUGACGGUGUGGAGAGAUGGUGGUGUUUCCUCAGAAGAACCAGCAGAGUCACUCGCUGACUGAUGCUCAUCUGCGCUGCACAGAGGAAAUCAACUGACCGAGGAGUGUUUCUGAGUGAGGGGGAGAGGAGUCAUCAUCCAGAUGGGCAGCAUAUCAGUCUUGGACUGUCUAACCUGCCGGAGCAGCACUGAAUGACCACCACACAUGAGCAUGUUCCUGCAACAUUCAGCAUCUGAUCCUUCAUCUGUGUGCUUCUGCUUUUGUGUCACAUGUCAAACAGCUGGAGAGGAAACUACACCAGCAUACUGGGAUGUUUCAGCAACACGUGCCAGAUGCUGUUCCUUCAUGGUGACAUCACCAGAGACAGCCCCACCCACCUGAGGACCUCGCCAUUGAUCAUGAUGAUUAUAAUGAUGACAGCGAGCGGAACUAAGACUGUAAAAAUCCACGACCAGAAUUUUUCUUUCUAAUUAUUAAUGAAUACUAAGAGCCUCUUUCUGUGUUUUGUAUGUUUUGGGGUUGUUUUUUUUUUACCUCAUUUGUUACUAACAAAGUUCACCAAACUCACACAGUUUACAUUCUGUAUGUUUCCAUCUUUACCAGCCACACUCUAAUUGCAUUUAAGAAAAUAAUCCUUAGAAAUUGUCGUUUUUCUCUUUUGUAAUUGAUGAUAAUUCAGUGAAUAUACUGCACUGCUUCCUUCUAUUGCGUCACACAUUGCUUUAAGUUUUUCAGUGUCCAGUUAUUUUUUACUGCUGUUUGAAUUCUCUGUAUGUUUGACCCUGUAGACUGUUUGAUGGACUGCUUGUCUUCCUGUUUGUAACCGCCGCCUGUUUUUUAAUAAAGAUUUGGAUUUCUGACUUCAACACAGCCUCUGCGUGUCCUCCCUUUGUGUCCUCUUCCUCUGUGAACGUGUUGCAUGUGUCACAGAUUCAUUUUAUCAACAGCUUUCCCACAGUGAGU